rnacentral:rRNA from 1 species
UUUGAAUGUUUGAUCUCAAAUCAGGUAGGACUACCCGCUGAACUUAAGCAUAUCAAUAAGCGGAGGA